rnacentral:lncRNA from 1 species
UGCCUGAGCUGGCAUCCUCUUCCUCCUGUCGGCGGGAGGUGUGGAUCACCUACUGCGUGCGGGGAACAAACGCCGCCCCAGUACCGGUCCCUGCAGCGGAGUAGCCUUCACCUGCAAGGUGAACGCCUGCUCACCACGUAAUCCCCAAACGCAGAUAUCACGUUGUCUCUGCAACUUUCCCUGACAACCACCCAAUGCAAUUAAUUAUCCCACAAUAGUAUCUCCCGCAGGCUCUCUGUAGAACCAUAGAAUUCAUCCAUCAAAAUACAAUCAUUUGUUGAUCCGUCUCUCUCUGCCGCCCCCAAAUGUGAAUUCCUUGAGUCAGAGACUAUUCUACUCAGCAAAACAUUUGUGAGUGGAAUUAAAUUGAAAUAAACCGUUAUAGUCCACUCACAGAUGGAAAACACAUAGUAAAAUCCUAGAAUUCCAUUUCUCCCCUGAAAAUUUCCCAGACAGUCAGAGGGAGUUUCAUUCUUUCCUGUUUACUUUUCUCCCAAAUAGGCCUUCUGAGGCAGCAGAAUAGGGAAGGAAGUCAGAAGACUGACCAGCUCAUACCUAUGGAAUGCCUAUCAUACAUACACUUAAAAUUAUGGCAAGCUCACGCAGGCGCACUAAGAGAGAAAAAACAAGAAAACAGAUAUGACAAUUAUAGGAAAUCCCCUCCCUAGAGUUAAAGAAGUGUAGGAAGUGGGUAUAAAAGAACAAAGGCUAUAUUAAUCCAGGGCUGACACCACUUGAAGAUAAGCCCGUUCCUCUCUCUGGUAUAUUCUUUGCUUAAUAAAUCUUGUGGGGUGGUUAUUUGUGUGUCUCAUCCAAUUCUUUGUUCAUAACACCAAGAACCUGGAACUCCCAACUUCCAAUCUGGUAACAUAUUUUGGUGAGCCAGCCAGGAGGGUCAAGCCUGCAAUACCUAAAGCUCCAGACCUGGAACCCAAAGCUCCCAUCAGUCGCUACCCUGUGAACCUGUGGAGGAUCUGAAGUACCUGUUUAAAAGGCAUCCAAAAGAUAGAAUCUAUCAAGCUACAAAUGGCUAUGUUGCCUGAAGCCCCAGACAUCAUCCUACAAGAAAUAAGUCCAGACUUCUUAAUUUCCCCCUGGAUAGAGCAGGGUGAUACUGUGGCCUGGGUGAAGACAUCGUAUCCUCUGUGUGUAACAGUGAUAAGAAGGCUUACCUCGCAGGGUUAUUACAAGACAAAUGAAAUAACUUUGGCACACUAUUAAAGGCUUCGUGGAUAAUUAAAGCUUCACAAAAACCUUGAUGAGAUUCCCUCUAUCCUCAGAAAAUGUAUGUGUGUGUGACGGUGUAGGGGUGG